rnacentral:tRNA from 1 species
AGGGGCUUAGGCUAACACAAACCAGCAGCCUUCAAAGCUUCAACCAAGAGCUAAAAUCUCUUAGCCCCUG